UACGUAGGGUGCGAGCGUUAAUCGGAAUUACUGGGCGUAAAGCGUGCGCAGGCGGUUUUGUAAGUCCGAUGUGAAAUCCCCGGGCUUAACCUGGGAACUGCGUUUGAAACUACAAGGCUAGAGUGUGGCAGAGGGGGGUGGAAUUCCACGUGUAGCAGUGAAAUGCGUAGAGAUGUGGAGGAACACCGAUGGCGAAGGCAGCCCCCUGGGUCAAGAUUGACGCUCAUGCACGAAAGCGUGGGGAGCAAACAGG
rnacentral:rRNA from 1 species